rnacentral:rRNA from 1 species
CGAACGGAAGUUUAAGCAAUUAAACUUUAGUGGCGAACGGGUGAGUAACGCGUAAGCAAUCUGCCCCUAAGACGAGGAUAACAGUUGGAAACGACUGCUAAGACUGGAUAGGAGACAAGAAGGCAUCUUCUUGUUUUUAAAAGACCUAGCAAUAGGUAUGCUUAGGGAGGAGCUUGCGUCACAUUAGUUAGUUGGUGGGGUAAAGGCCUACCAAGACUAUGAUGUGUAGCCGGGCUGAGAGGUUGAACGGCCACAUUGGGACUGAGACACGGCCCAAACUCCUACGGGAGGCAGCAGUAGGGAAUUUUCGGCAAUGGAGGAAACUCUGACCGAGCAACGCCGCGUGAACGAUGAAGUAUUUCGGUACGUAAAGUUCUUUUAUUAGGGAAGAAUAAAUGAUGGAAAAAUCAUUCUGACUGUACCUAAUGAAUAAGCCCCGGCUAACUAUGUGCCAGCAGCCGCGGUAAUACAUAGGGGGCAAGCGUUAUCCGGAAUUAUUGGGCGUAAAGGGUGCGUAGGCGGUUAAAUAAGUUUAUGGUCUAAGUGCAAUGCUCAACAUUGUGAUGCUAUAAAAACUGUUUAGCUAGAGUAAGAUAGAGGCAAGUGGAAUUCCAUGUGUAGUGGUAAAAUGCGUAAAUAUAUGGAGGAACACCAGUAGCGAAGGCGGCUUGCUGGGUCUUUACUGACGCUGAGGCACGAAAGCGUGGGGAGCAAACAGGAUUAGAUACCCUGGUAGUCCACGCCGUAAACGAUGAGUACUAAACGUUGGGUAAAACCAGUGUUGAAGUUAACACAUUAAGUACUCCGCCUGAGUAGUACGUACGCAAGUAUGAAACUUAAAGGAAUUGACGGGACUCCGCACAAGCGGUGGAUCAUGUUGUUUAAUUCGAAGGUACCCGAAAAACCUCACCAGGUCUUGACAUGCUUCUGCAAAGCUGUAGAAACACAGUGGAGGUUAUCAGUUGCACAGGUGGUGCAUGGUUGUCGUCAGCUCGUGUCGUGAGAUGUUGGGUUAAGUCCCGCAACGAGCGCAACCCUUAUUGUUAGUUACCAGCACGUAAUGGUGGGGACUUUAGCAAGACUGCCAGUGAUAAAUUGGAGGAAGGUGGGGACGACGUCAAAUCAUCAUGCCCCUUAUGACCUGGGCUACAAACGUGAUACAAUGGCUGUUACAAAGGGUAGCUGAAGCGCAAGUUUUUGGCGAAUCUCAAAAAAACAGUCUCAGUUCGGAUUGAAGUCUGCAACUCGACUUCAUGAAGUUGGAAUCGCUAGUAAUCGCGAAUCAGCAUGUCGCGGUGAAUACGUUCUCGGGGUUUGUACACACCGCCCGUCAAACCACGAAAGUUGGAAAUACCCAAAGCCGGUGGCCUAACUUCGCAAGAAGAGGGAACCGUCUAAGGUAGGUUCGAUGAUUGGGGUUAAG